UUAAGCGACUAAGCGUACACGGUGGAUGCCCUGGCAGUCAGAGGCGAUGAAGGACGUGCUAAUCUGCGAUAAGCGUCGGUAAGGUGAUAUGAACCGUUAUAACCGGCGAUUUCCGAAUGGGGAAACCCAGUGUGUUUCGACACACUAUCAUUAACUGAAUCCAUAGGUUAAUGAGGCGAACCGGGGGAACUGAAACAUCUAAGUACCCCGAGGAAAAGAAAUCAACCGAGAUUCCCCCAGUAGCGGCGAGCGAACGGGGAGCAGCCCAGAGCCUGAAUCAGUGUGUGUGUUAGUGGAAGCGUCUGGAAAGGCGCGCGAUACAGGGUGACAGCCCCGUACACAAAAAUGCACAUGCUGUGAGCUCGAUGAGUAGGGCGGGACACGUGGUAUCCUGUCUGAAUAUGGGGGGACCAUCCUCCAAGGCUAAAUACUCCUGACUGACCGAUAGUGAACCAGUACCGUGAGGGAAAGGCGAAAAGAACCCCGGCGAGGGGAGUGAAAAAGAACCUGAAACCGUGUACGUACAAGCAGUGGGAGCACGCUUAGGCGUGUGACUGCGUACCUUUUGUAUAAUGGGUCAGCGACUUAUAUUCUGUAGCAAGGUUAACCGAAUAGGGGAGCCGAAGGGAAACCGAGUCUUAACUGGGCGUUAAGUUGCAGGGUAUAGACCCGAAACCCGGUGAUCUAGCCAUGGGCAGGUUGAAGGUUGGGUAACACUAACUGGAGGACCGAACCGACUAAUGUUGAAAAAUUAGCGGAUGACUUGUGGCUGGGGGUGAAAGGCCAAUCAAACCGGGAGAUAGCUGGUUCUCCCCGAAAGCUAUUUAGGUAGCGCCUCGUGAAUUCAUCUCCGGGGGUAGAGCACUGUUUCGGCAAGGGGGUCAUCCCGACUUACCAACCCGAUGCAAACUGCGAAUACCGGAGAAUGUUAUCACGGGAGACACACGGCGGGUGCUAACGUCCGUCGUGAAGAGGGAAACAACCCAGACCGCCAGCUAAGGUCCCAAAGUCAUGGUUAAGUGGGAAACGAUGUGGGAAGGCCCAGACAGCCAGGAUGUUGGCUUAGAAGCAGCCAUCAUUUAAAGAAAGCGUAAUAGCUCACUGGUCGAGUCGGCCUGCGCGGAAGAUGUAACGGGGCUAAACCAUGCACCGAAGCUGCGGCAGCGACACUAUGUGUUGUUGGGUAGGGGAGCGUUCUGUAAGCCUGCGAAGGUGUGCUGUGAGGCAUGCUGGAGGUAUCAGAAGUGCGAAUGCUGACAUAAGUAACGAUAAAGCGGGUGAAAAGCCCGCUCGCCGGAAGACCAAGGGUUCCUGUCCAACGUUAAUCGGGGCAGGGUGAGUCGACCCCUAAGGCGAGGCCGAAAGGCGUAGUCGAUGGGAAACAGGUUAAUAUUCCUGUACUUGGUGUUACUGCGAAGGGGGGACGGAGAAGGCUAUGUUAGCCGGGCGACGGUUGUCCCGGUUUAAGCGUGUAGGCUGGUUUUCCAGGCAAAUCCGGAAAAUCAAGGCUGAGGCGUGAUGACGAGGCACUACGGUGCUGAAGCAACAAAUGCCCUGCUUCCAGGAAAAGCCUCUAAGCAUCAGGUAACAUCAAAUCGUACCCCAAACCGACACAGGUGGUCAGGUAGAGAAUACCAAGGCGCUUGAGAGAACUCGGGUGAAGGAACUAGGCAAAAUGGUGCCGUAACUUCGGGAGAAGGCACGCUGAUAUGUAGGUGAAGUCCCUUGCGGAUGGAGCUGAAAUCAGUCGAAGAUACCAGCUGGCUGCAACUGUUUAUUAAAAACACAGCACUGUGCAAACACGAAAGUGGACGUAUACGGUGUGACGCCUGCCCGGUGCCGGAAGGUUAAUUGAUGGGGUCAGCGCAAGCGAAGCUCUUGAUCGAAGCCCCGGUAAACGGCGGCCGUAACUAUAACGGUCCUAAGGUAGCGAAAUUCCUUGUCGGGU
rnacentral:rRNA from 1 species